UGGGGAAUUUUGGACAAUGGGCGAAAGCCUGAUCCAGCAAUGCCGCGUGUGUGAAGAAGGCCUUCGGGUUGUAAAGCACUUUUGUCCGGAAAGAAAUCCUUGGCUCUAAUACAGUCGGGGGAUGACGGUACCGGAAGAAUAAGCACCGGCUAACUACGCGCCAGCAGCCGCGGUAAUACGUAGGGUGCAAGCGUUAAUCGGAAUUACUGGGCGUAAAGCGUGCGCAGGCGGUUUGCUAAGACCGAUGUGAAAUCCCCGGGCUCAACCUGGGAACUGCAUUGGUGACUGGCAGGCUAGAGUAUGGCAGAGGGGGGUAGAAUUCCACGUGUAGCAGUGAAAUGCGUAGAGAUGUGGAGGAAUACCGAUGGCGAAGGCAGCCCCCUGGGCCAAUACUGACGCUCAUGCACGAAAGCGUGGGGAGCAAACAGGAUUAGAUACCCUGGUAGUCCACGCCCUAAACGAUGUCAACUAGUUGUUGGGGACUUCAUUUCCUUAGUAACGUAGCUAACGCGUGAAGUUGACCGCCUGGGGAGUACGGUCGCAAGAUUAAAACUUAAAUGAAUUGACGGGGUCAUAGCUGUUUCCU
rnacentral:rRNA from 1 species